UGGAGCCAACCUUGAAAUACCACCCUUUAAUGUUUGAUGUUCUAACGUUGCCCCAUUAUCUGGGGUGCGGACAGUGUCUGGUGGGUAGUUUGACUGGGGCGGUCUCCUCCCAAAGAGUAACGGAGGAGCACGAAGGUUGGCUAAGCAUGGUCGGACAUCAUGCGGUUAGUGCAAAGGCAUAAGCCAGCUUGACUGCGAGAGUGACGGCUCGAGCAGGUACGAAAGUAGGUCUUAGUGAUCCGGUGGUUCUGAAUGGAAGGGCCAUCGCUCAACGGAUAAAAGGUACUCCGGGGAUAACAGGCUGAUACCGCCCAAGAGUUCAUAUCGACGGCGGUGUUUGGCACCUCGAUGUCGGCUCAUCACAUCCUGGGGCUGAAGUAGGUCCCAAGGGUACGGCUGUUCGCCGUUUAAAGUGGUACGCGAGCUGGGUUUAGAACGUCGUGAGACAGUUCGGUCCCUAUCUGCCGUGGGCGUUGGAAGAUUGAAAGGGGCUGCUCCUAGUACGAGAGGACCGGAGUGGACGCACCACUGGUGUUCGGGUUGUCAUGCCAAUGGCAUUGCCCGGUAGCUAAGUGCGGAAGAGAUAACCGCUGAAAGCAUCUAAGCGGGAAACUUGCCUUGAGAUGAGUCUUCCCUGACUCUUUAAGAGUCCUAAAGGAACGUUUAAGACUAAGACGUUGAUAGGUUGGGUGUGUAAGCGUAGCGAUACGUUGAGCUAACCAAUACUAAUGAACCGUGAGGCUUAACCUG
rnacentral:rRNA from 1 species